rnacentral:tRNA from 1 species
CGAAAUAUAGCUUAAACAAAGCAUCUUGCUUACACCGAGAAAAUGCCUGAUAACACAGACUAUUUCGA